rnacentral:rRNA from 1 species
ACAAGUGAGAAUGCCGGUAUGAGUAACGAAAAGAUCAGUGAGAAUCUGAUCCGCCGAAAGCCUAAGGGUUCCUGAGGAAGGUUCGUCCGCUCAGGGUAAGUCGGGACCUAAGGCGAGGCCGAAAGGCGUAGUCGAAGGACAACAGGUAGAAAUUCCUGUACCACCGUAAUCCGUUAUGAGCGAUGGGGUGACGCAGUAGGGUAGUGACGCGAGCUGAUGGAUGCUCGUCCAAGCAGUGAGGCUGGUGUGUAGGCAAAUCCGCACACCGUAAGGCUAGGCUGUGAUGGGGAGGGAAAAUUUACAGUACCGAAGGUCAUGAUCUCACACUGCCAAGAAAAGCCUCUAGCCAGGAGAAGGUGCCCGUACCGCAAACCGACACAGGUAGGCGAGAAGAGAAUUCUAAGGCGCGCGGAAGAACUCUCGUUAAGGAACUCGGCAAAAUGACCCCGUAACUUCGGGAGAAGGGGUGCCUCGGUAGGGUGAAUAGCCCGAGGGGGCCGCAGUGAAAAGGCCCAAGCGACUGUUUAGCAAAAACACAGGUCUGUGCGAAGCCGCAAGGCGAAGUAUACGGGCUGACGCCUGCCCGGUGCUGGAAGGUUAAGGGGAGCGGUUAGGGGGAAACCCCGAAGCUGUGAACCGAAGCCCCAGUAAACGGCGGCCGUAACUAUAACGGUCCUAAGGUAGCGAAAUUCCUUGUCAGGUAAAUUCUGACCCGCACGAAUGGCGUAACGACUUGGGCGCUGUCUCAACGAGAGAUCCGGUGAAAUUUUAAUACCUGUGAAGAUGCAGGUUACCCGCGACAAGACGGAAAGACCCCAUGGAGCUUUACUGCAGCUUGAUAUUGGACUUUGAUACGAUUUGUACAGGAUAGGUGGGAGCCUAGGAAGCCGGAGCGCCAGCUUCGGUGGAGGCGCCGUUGGGAUACCACCCUGAUCGUAUCGGAGUUCUAACCUGGUACCGUGAACCGGUACGGGGACAGUGUCAGGUGGGCAGUUUGACUGGGGCGGUCGCCUCCUAAAGAGUAACGGAGGCGCCCCAAGGUUCCCUCAGAAUGGUUGGAAAUCAUUCGAAGAGUGCAAAGGCAAAAGGGAGCUUGACUGCGAGACUGACAAGUCGAGCAGGGACGAAAGUCGGGCUUAGUGAUCCGGUGGUACCGCAUGGAAGGGCCAUCGCUCAACGGAUAAAAGCUACCCUGGGGAUAACAGGCUUAUCUCCCCCAAGAGUCCACAUCGACGGGGAGGUUUGGCACCUCGAUGUCGGCUCAUCGCAUCCUGGGGCUGAAGUAGGUCCCAAGGGUUGGGCUGUUCGCCCAUUAAAGCGGUACGCGAGCUGGGUUCAGAACGUCGUGAGACAGUUCGGUCCCUAUCUGUCGUGGGCGUAGGAAAUUUGAGAGGAGCUGUCCUUAGUACGAGAGGACCGGGAUGGACGCACCGCUGGUGCACCAGUUGUUCCGCCAGGAGCACAGCUGGGUAGCUAAGUGCGGACGGGAUAAGCGCUGAAAGCAUCUAAGCGUGAAGCCCCCCUCAAGAUGAGAUUUCCCAGUAUGUAAGACCCCUUGAAGACGACAAGGUUGAUAGGCCUGAGGUGGAAGUGCAGCAAUGCAUGGAGCUGACAGGUACUAAUCGGUCGAGGGCUUAUCCAA